UACGUAGGGUGCAAGCGUUGUCCGGAAUUAUUGGGCGUAAAGAGCUCGUAGGCGGUCUGUCGCGUCGGCUGUGAAAACCUGGGGCUCAACCCCGGGCCUGCAGCCGAUACGGGCAAGCUAGAAUUCGGUAGGGGAGACUGGAAUUCCUGGUGUAGCGGUGAAAUGCGCAGAUAUCAGGAGGAACACCGGUGGCGAAGGCGGGUCUCUGGGCCGAUAUUGACGCUGAGGAGCGAAAGCGUGGGGAGCAAACAGG
rnacentral:rRNA from 1 species